AACAAAGUUGCCCCCCAAGUCAGGAAGGGCCCCCCCAGUAAUAAGAGCCAUCAGGUCCUCACCGUGCCUGCCACAGCUGUGUGCACCUUCUGUGAAAUCACUCCUGCCACUCGCUGCAGGGGUACCAUUACUGUCCCCGUACUACUAAGGAGGAAACUGAGGCCCAAGGAAAUGAAGUCACGGGCCCAAGAUGACACAGCCAGAGAGGAACAGGGAGGGUCCCCUCGAUACUCACACAGGAAAUGACCUCGAACCCUGGCUCAGGCUCAUCAUCGGGCGGCGGGGGGAGGUCAGGGGAGGCCCCCUCAGGGUGUGGCUGCAGGGCUCCCCGGAAGAAGUUGGUCACUCGGGAGAAGCUGCUGAAGGUGGUGGAGUAGGGGUCCUGGAGGAAGCGCUGGGGACAAGGCCGGGGACGGUCACAGUCCACCCCUUCUCAUCCCUCCCUGCCCACAUCCCACCAGGCCUGGCACCAGCGACACUCACAGACACCACAUUGGAGCUGUCCUGGUCAAAGAGCUGCAGGUGGUAGAAGGAGUUGGAGAGGGCGGAGGAGUCGUGGGGGAAGACAAGGUAGAGGCGAGAGUCCUGCGGGGAGCUGGGAGGCAGGAGGUGACACACAGGUGACGUACAGGUACGGCCCAGGGUCCCAGGCUGUCCUUGCCCACCCUACAUUUGUUCCAGUUGUGGCGUCCCAGCCACCCUUGGGGAAUCCCUCAUCUUGGGGGUGUUAAGGGGGAGGCCUGGGACCAGCACUGGCCCCCAGGGGUGGGCACAUGGCUCAGGGCGGGCCAGUGAGGGCCUUGCACCUCCCUGGCCAGGGUGACUGACUCAGGGGCGAGCCAACGAGAGGCAGCCCUGGGAUCCUGCUGGAAUGUGGAGAAAAAGUCACUUUGUAGCCACCGGGAUUGGUAAGCCAGGGCUACUGGGGGCCCAGACAGUGAUAGAACCUCAGAGGAAAAGAGAGCAACUCUUUCCAACGUUCUGGGCCCUGGGCCCUGCCUGAAAUCAACACUGCCCUUUGGUUUCUCAGUUACUUGAGCCAGUUGACUCCUUUUUCCUUCCUCUAAAUCAGUGUGCAUGUGUUUCUCUCACUGCCCCGAGAGGUCAGGCUGCCGCUGUGGAGGGACAGGGCCUGGUCAGAGGCCCAGCACGGAGAGAAGACUCACCUGGCCAACAGCAGGGAGAGAAAACUCCCGAGCAUUCCUCAGUGUCAAGUUCUGGCAACACCUCUUCCUGAAAGGCACCUGCACUUCCCAGAAGGAUCAGGUGGCUUCUCUGGAUGUCCCCAGCAGCCUGUGUGACUCCAGGAAGAGUCGGGGUCUCGCUCUUGCUCAGGCUGGUCUUGAACUGCUGGCCUUAAGUGAUCCGUUCGCCUCAGCUCCCAGAGUACUAGAAUUGCCUGGUGGCCCGGAUUAAAGAGGAAGACAACUUUGAACAGACAGUUCCCUGCCUUAACAAGAGGGGUCAGAUUAAAACGUGAAAGCUCCAAGAAUGUUGCAGCGAACACCAUUUCAGAGCUCACAGUGUAGUUCAGGAAUUAAGAUACUUGGAGUAGCAGUGGAGGAAGAACCUCAGUUGCCAAGAUUUGCUGCUGUCAGCCUUCAACCCAAGUCAAUGAAUUAAGUCAACCUGCAUAGCCUAAAAAUGCCCAAAUGCCGCAUCUGAUUAAAUGGAGGAGAAGAGGUGGUUGCUUUAUUUGCCUUGUUUACCCACCCUGCCCAGUAAUGUCUGUAAUUGUGAAGA